rnacentral:rRNA from 1 species
CGAAAGCCUGACGGAGCAAGACCGCGUGAGGGAGGAAGGUCUGUGGAUUGUAAACCUCUUUUCUCAGGGAAGAAGAACUGACGGUACCUGAGGAAUCAGCAUCGGCUAACUCCGUGCCAGCAGCCGCGGUAAGACGGAGGAUGCAAGUGUUAUCCGGAAUCACUGGGCGUAAAGCGUCUGUAGGUGGUUUAGCAAGUCAACUGUUAAAUCUUGAGGCUCAACCUCAAAAUCGCAGUCGAAACUAUUAGACUAGAGUAUAGUAGAGGUAAGGGGAAUUUCCAGUGGAGCGGUGAAAUGCGUAGAUAUGGGAAAGAACACCGAUGGCGAAAGCACUUUACUGGGCUAUUACUAACACUCAGAGACGAAAGCUAGGGUAGCA